UACGUAGGGUGCGAGCGUUAAUCGGAAUUACUGGGCGUAAAGCGUGCGCAGGCGGCUUUGCAAGACAGAUGUGAAAUCCCCGGGCUCAACCUGGGAACUGCAUUUGUGACUGUAUAGCUAGAGUACGGCAGAGGGGGAUGGAAUUCCGCGUGCAGCAGUGAAAUGCGUAGAUAUGCGGAGGAACACCGAUGGCGAAGGCAAUCCCCUGGGCCUGUACUGACGCUCAUGCACGAAAGCGUGGGGAGCAAACAGG
rnacentral:rRNA from 1 species